rnacentral:rRNA from 1 species
AGCAAGUGGACGAAGGCAUACACGCCGUCCGAGGACAAGCUCCUUUGUGAGUGUUGGAGGAACAUUGGGCAAGACCCCAAGGUCGGCGCCGAACAAAAGGCAUCAACCUUUUGGAUUCGUGUUCAUCAUGAGUUCCAUGAAUGUAAGAAGUUUGCGCCAUACCAAAUGCAAAGCAAGCGUGGGUGGGUGUCCCUUUCAAAGCGAUGGAGGGUGAUACAACAAGAGUGCAACAAGUUUUGUGCCACCAUUGAGAGCAUCAAGGUAUGCCUCGUAAGCGGCAUCAACAUGCAAGAUAUGGUAUACAUACGCCCCUCUUUGUUUCCAUUCCCGUUAUGCUUGCAUGUCCAUUUGCCCAUAUGCUUGCAUGCUAUUCAUUUGUAG